CGGAUGUAGCCAAGCGGAUCAAGGCAG
rnacentral:tRNA from 1 species